CUUCAGGGGAGGCACAGUCUCUUUACAGCCCCAUGGGGCUAAUGUCUCUUGCCAAACGAUUUGUUUUUAGUGAGCAUGUGCGACAAUCCUGGCCAGUGAGAGAGGAGGAAAGUGUGCAGGGAGGACUCGGGAAAGAAUUUUCUUACUCUCAAGAGAGGACACACGGCAGGGGUGGAAAUGUAAGAGAAAUAGCAGACUGGAGGAAGUAACGGCUGGGUCUCCAGCUAGACAGCUCUGAAGGCCUGGUUUUGUGGAGCAGUGAGGGGGAGGAAAUGCAUGCUGUGGACAAAGGCUAACGGCAAGGAGAAAGGAAGGAGAAGAACAGCACCAGGGCUCCAGGAAAAUCAACCAACUCCAAAGCCCAGGAGGUCAUAAAGCUUCAUGAGAGGAUGUAGUGCCAAAGUCCUGCCCUGGGGAGCAGAACAAACAGUCCAAGAAGCCGGGAAGACCAACAUGUGCUUGAACACGUGGAGUUUUCCAGAGGCUCCGUGAUGUGUGAUAUGGCAACAGAUUGAAUAUAGAAGCAAACACGAGAAUCCAGCUGCAAAAAGAUUUGCAGAACUGCAAAAUAAUGCCACUCUCCUCAUUAAUUUUUUUUGGUUUAGAAAAUAGUGCUAUUUUCAUUAAAGUAAAUUAUUUAUUC
rnacentral:lncRNA from 1 species